GCUUGUCUCAAAGAUUAAGCCAUGCAUGUCUAAGUAUAAGCAUUAUACAGUGAAACUGCGAAUGGCUCAUUAUAUCAGUUAUAGUUUAUUUGAUAGUCCCUGCUAUUUGGAUAACCGUAGUAAUUCUAGAGCUAAUACAUGCUAAAAACCUCGACUUCGGAAGGGGUGUAUUUAUUAGAUAAAAAACCAAUGCCCUUCGGGGCUCCUUGGUGAAUCAUAAUAACUUAACGAAUCGCAUGGCCUUGCGCCGGCGAUGGUUCAUUCAAAUUUCUGCCCUAUCAACUUUCGAUGGUAGGAUAGUGGCCUACCAUGGUAUCAACGGGUAACGGGGAAUUAGGGUUCGACUCCGGAGAGGGAGCCUGAGAAACGGCUACCACAUCCAAGGAAGGCAGCAGG
rnacentral:rRNA from 1 species